GAUGAACGCUGGCGGCGUGCCUAACACAUGCAAGUCGAGCGGCAGCGAGGGGUGCUUGCACCCUGUCGGCGAGCGGCGGACGGCUGAGUAACGCGUGGGAACGUGCCCCAAAGUGAGGAAUAACUGCCCGAAAGGGUAGCUAAUACCGCAUAUUAUCUUCGGAUCAAAGGAUUUAUCCGCUUUGGGAGCGGCUCGCGUCGGAUUAGGUAGUUGGUGAGGUAAUGGCUCACCAAGCCGACGAUCCGUAGCUGGUCUGAGAGGAUGACCAGCCAGACUGGAACUGAGACACGGUCCAGACUCCUACGGGAGGCAGCAGUGAGGAAUCUUCCACAAUGGGCGAAAGCCUGAUGGAGCAACGCCGCGUGCAGGACGAAGGCCUUCGGGUUGUAAACUGCUUUUAUAAGUGAGGAAUAUGACGGUAACUUAUGAAUAAGGAUCGGCCAACUACGUG
rnacentral:rRNA from 1 species